rnacentral:rRNA from 1 species
GACGAACGCUGGCGGCGUGCUUAACACAUGCAAGUCGAACGCGAAAGGUUCCUUCGGGAACCCGGUAGAGUGGCGCACGGGUGAGUAACACGUGGGUAAUUUGCCUUCGGGUGGGGAAGUAACAGUCGGAAACGGACUGCUAAUACCGCAUAAUGCAGCGGCAUCAUAAGAUGACAGUUGUUAAAGCGGGGGAGUCGUAAGACCUCGCGCCUGAAGAGAAGCCCGCGGCGGAUUAGGUAGUUGGU